AAACUGAAGAGUUUGAUCAUGGCUCAGAUUGAACGCUGGCGGCAGGCUUAACACAUGCAAGUCGAGCGGAAACGAUGGGAGCUUGCUCCCAGGCGUCGAGCGGCGGACGGGUGAGUAACACUUAGGAAUCUACCUAGUAGUGGG
rnacentral:rRNA from 1 species